GAUGAACGCUGGCGGCGUGCUUAACACAUGCAAGUCGAACGGAAAGGCCCAAGCUUGCUUGGGUCCUCGAGUGGCGAACGGGUGAGUAACACGUGGGUGAUCUGCCCUGCACUUCGGGAUAAGCCUGGGAAACUGGGUCUAAUACCGGAUAGGACGAUGGUUUGGAUGCCAUUGUGGAAAGUGUUUUCGGUGUGGGAUGAGCCCGCGGCCUAUUAGCUGGUGGGUGGGGUAAUGGCGUACCAAGGCGUCGACGGGUAGCUGGCCUGAGAGGGCGAUCGGCCGCAUUGGGUCUGACACACGCCCCAACGGCAUGCGGGAGGGAGGAGUAUGGAACAUUGGGCGAUGGGCGGAAGCCUGAUCCAGGCGUGCCGGGUGACUGAUGAAGGGUUGUGGGUUGCUAUGCCCAGUUACCAGGGAUGUUUGUGACGGUACCUGGAGAAGAAGCACCGGCUAACUACGUG
rnacentral:rRNA from 1 species